rfam:Echinostoma caproni strain Egypt genome assembly, scaffold: ECPE_scaffold0006592
GCAAUGCUGAUGAGACCAAACCAGGUCUAAACAGCUGUCCAGUAC